rnacentral:rRNA from 1 species
ACUCAAAGGAAUAGACGGGGGCCCGCACAAGCGGCGGAGCAUGUUGCUUAAUUCGAGGCAACGCGAAGAACCUUACCUGGGUUUGACAUGUGGGGAAAAGCCGUAGAGAUACGGUGUCCUUCGGGGCCCCGCACAGGUGGUGCAUGGCUGUCGUCAGCUCGUGUCGUGAGAUGUUGGGUUAAGUCCCGCAACGAGCGCAACCCUUGUCCUGUGUUGCUACCGGAUUAUGCCGGGCACUCUCAGGAGACUGCCGGGGUCAACUCGGAGGAAGGUGGGGACGACGUCAAGUCAUCAUGCCCCUUAUGUCCAGGGCUGCAAACAUGCUACAAUGGCCGGUACAACGGGCUGCUACCCCGCGAGGGGACGCGAAUCCCUUAAAGCCGGUCUCAGUUCGGAUCGCAGUCUGCAACCCGACUGCGUGAAGUCGGAGUCGCUAGUAAUCCCGGAUCAGCCACGCCGGGGUGAAUACGUUCCCGGGCCUUGUACACACCGCCCGU